rnacentral:SRP_RNA from 1 species
GCCGGGCGCAGUGCGCGUGCCUGUAGUCCCAACUACUCGGGAGGCUGAGGUGGGAAAAUUGCUUGAGCCCAGGAGUUCUGGGCUGUAGUGUGCUAUGCUGACCGGGUGUCCGCACUAAGUUCAGCAUCAACAUGGUGACCUCCAAGGAGCAGGGGAGCACCAGGUUGCCUAAGGAGGAGUGAACCGGCCCAGGUAGGAAACAGAGCAGGUCAAAACUCCGGUGCUGAUCAGUAAUGGGAUCAUGCCUGUGAAUAGCCACUGCACUCCAGCCUGGGCAACAUAGCGAGACCCUGUCUCU